rnacentral:rRNA from 1 species
GAUGAACGCUGACAGAAUGCUUAACACAUGCAAGUCGAUUCGAUUUACCUUCGGGUAUUGAGGAUGGCGGACGGGUGAGUAACGCGUAAGGAACUUGCCUCUUGGUCUGGGACAACUGUUGGAAACGACAGCUAAUACCGGAUAUUAUGAGAUUCUCGCAUGGGAAACUUAUGAAAGCUAUAUGCGCCAAGAGAGAGCCUUGCGUUCCAUUAGCUAGUUGGUGGGGUAACGGCCCACCAAGGCGACGAUGGAUAGCCGGCCUGAGAGGGUGAACGGCCACAAGGGGACUGAGACACGGCCCUUACUCCUACGGGAGGCAGCAGUGGGGAAUAUUGGACAAUGGGCCACAAGCCUGAUCCAGCAAUUCUGUGUGCACGAUGAAGGUCUUCGGAUUGUAAAGUGCUUUCAGUUGGGAAGAAGAAAGUGACGGUACCAACAGAAGAAGCGACGGCUAAAUACGUGCCAGCAGCCGCGGUAAUACGUAUGUCGCAAGCGUUAUCCGGAUUUAUUGGGCGUAAAGCGCGUCUAGGCGGAAAAAUAAGUCUGAUGUUAAAAUGCGGGGCUCAACUCCGUAUUGCGUUGGAAACUGUUUUUCUAGAGUACUGGAGAGGUGGGCGGANCUACNAGUGUAGAGGUGAAAUUCGUAGAUAUUUGUAGGAAUGCCGAUGGAGAAGUCAGCUCACUGGACAGAUACUGACGCUAAAGCNCGAAAGC